AUUAGCGCGACGAACUUACCCAUGUUCGCGUCACUUGCUUAGGUUAGCAGAAAGGAUGCAGGAUGGGCAGCGCCCGUGCGCGUCGUGGAAUCCGUAAUUACAGCUGCCGUCUCUCACUAAUUAUCACACGUCCCACGGCCGCGGCAACGAAGGAUAUCCCACUAAUCCCACUUAACGCUCGCAAUUGCUGGGCGCAAGACAGAGAAGGCGAAUCGAACUGGGGGAUUCCAGCGAGUUCUUGUUCCACUAGCUAUAUAUUUGUCCGUAUGCUUGCAGAAUCGCGAUCUCUGUGUUCGCCGAGUACUGUCGCUGGCUUGUUUACCAUCUGUCAAAGUCACUUCGGGAGACGGCGCACCGAUGAACUGCGCGAUCGAUCACCUGCGAAGGGUCCUUGGCUUCAUAAACGAUCCUCUUGCACUUCGACGAUCUUAUCAAUUUUAUCACGUACGCGCGUGUGAGCGUUGGAUCUCACGGGGAACUUCCACAGGGUAUUAUCGACAAGAGACGACUCAACAUGGCGCGCGUCCGUUACGUUCUGUACGGUGAAUGGGAUCGUUGCUCCCGCGACGAACGUAGGGCGCGCCGUAGUAAGCGCUCGUCAAAUCCGUCAUUCCCUUCAAUGGAGCGGGGGCUCGGUGGGAGCAACGGUGACCGGCUAUGACCCCGAUUCGAUCGAGGAGUCGCAGACGAAAGGAUUGCAGGAAGAUACAGGAAAAGGAGGGACCUGCUGUAAUAUUCUUUGAAAAUUGAAAUUGUCUAUUUUCAUGGUUACUUAGUUUAUUACAAAUUCGUUUCUUAUUACUGUUCGGCGAGACGAAACAGCGAGACGAAAAAUUAUAUGAUUUAAAAAUAUUAAUAAUCUUUUAUAAAUAAAAAUAACAAUAUACCUGUAUAAUUAAUUUGUCACUUUGAGAAUUAGGAGAUACUGGAUUCCACAGAAUGCUUCUUUAUAUAUUGCAAAUAAUGGAAAAAUUCUCAAUUUAAAUCCACUCUUACAAGAAUUAUUCUCAAAAAUUUUCCUUAUAUACAUGUAUUUGUAUCAACAAUUGCUUCUCGUCUUCUUUCUAUAAAAAUAAAUAUCGAAUUUAAAAAAUA